rnacentral:rRNA from 1 species
UACGUAGGGUGCAAGCGUUGUCCGGAAUUAUUGGGCGUAAAGAGCUCGUAGGCGGCUUGUCACGUCGAUUGUGAAAGCCCUGGGCUUAACCUGGGAAUUGCAGUCGAUACUACUCAGCUAGAGUAUGGGAGAGGGUAGUGGAAUUCCCGGUGUAGCGGUGAAAUGCGUAGAUAUGCGGAGGAACACCGAUGGCGAAGGCAAUCUCCUGGGCCUGCACUGACGCUCAUGCACGAAAGCGUGGGGAGCAAACAGG